CCUACGGGAGGCUGCAGUGGGGAAUAUUGGACAAUGGGGGGAACCCUGAUCCAGCCAUGCCGCGUGUGUGAAGAAGGCCCUCGGGUUGUAAAGCACUUUCAGUGAGGAAGAACGCCUGGUGGUUAAUACCCAUCAGGAAAGACAUCACUCACAGAAGAAGCACCGGCUAACUCCGUGCCAGCAGCCGCGGUAAUACGGAGGGUGCGAGCGUUAAUCGGAAUUACUGGGCGUAAAGCGCGCGUAGGUGGCUUGAUAAGCCGGUUGUGAAAGCCCCGGGCUCAACCUGGGAAUGGCAUCCGGAACUGUCAAGCUAGAGUGCAGGAGAGGAAGGUAGAAUUCCCGGUGUAGCGGUGAAAUGCGUAGAGAUCGGGAGGAAUACCAGUGGCGAAGGCGGCCUUCUGGACUGACACUGACACUGAGGUGCGAAAGCGUGGGUAGCAAACAGGAUUAGAUACCCCUGUAGUC
rnacentral:rRNA from 1 species